rnacentral:rRNA from 1 species
GCGUGAGUGAUGAAGGCCUUAGGGUUGUAAAGCUCUUUUGCCAGGGACGAUGAUGACGGUACCUGGAGAAUAAGCCCCGGCUAACUUCGUGCCAGCAGCCGCGGUAAUACGAAGGGGGCUAGCGUUGUUCGGAAUUACUGGGCGUAAAGGGCGCGUAGGCGGUUUGACCAGUCAGGUGUGAAAUUCCCGGGCUUAACCUGGGGGCUGCACUUGAUACUGUCAGGCUUGAAUUCGGGAGAGGAUAGCGGAAUUCCCAGUGUAGAGGUGAAAUUCGU